UACGUAGGGUGCAAGCGUUGUCCGGAAUUAUUGGGCGUAAAGAGCUCGUAGGCGGUUUGUCGCGUCUGCUGUGAAAACUGGAGGCUCAACCUCCAGCCUGCAGUGGGUACGGGCAGACUAGAGUGCGGUAGGGGAGAUUGGAAUUCCUGGUGUAGCGGUGGAAUGCGCAGAUAUCAGGAGGAACACCGAUGGCGAAGGCAGAUCUCUGGGCCGUAACUGACGCUGAGAAGCGAAAGCAUGGGGAGCGAACAGG
rnacentral:rRNA from 1 species